AACAAGAAAAAAAUUAAAAUAUUAUUUUUGAAUUAUGUAGAGGCAUACCAUUUGUUUGUAUUUAACUGUCUUCUCAAAUAUACAUUAAACAGAAAUACACAGAUGAUGAAUAGAAGAUCGAUGUUAUGGAUUUUUUCAAUGUUACAAGUAUACAUACUUUGGAGAAUAAUAAUUGUUCGGGAUGGUAACAGGAUUGUUCCUGUACUUCAGAGAUAACGAGACAAGUCUGAUACAUAUAUUAAUAGAAGUAUGCAUUUAUGCUGAUUUCCAAAUGAUGAUGUCUUUAAAAAUAUAAAUAUAGGAACUUCCAAGAAUUCAGAACGAUGUGUCUAUCCAGAUUUUUUGUGUCUGCAAUGGAUCAUGCUGUGCAUUUUCUGUGUUUAGAACUUAAGAUGGAUCGCCUCCAAUGCAUACUAUAGGAGUACCUUUAACUGGAACUAACCUAUGAAGCACAAUUAACGAAGAUGAAAUAUCUGAGCAUGAACAUUAUAAUGAUAUAGAAAACAAAUUGCCUUUGUACCUUUGAGAAAAAAUGAAAUGUCCGUGUCAAUAGUUAAAACUUAAUUUUAGCUAUGUAUGAUUUUCUUUAUAUUGACUUUUAAUCAAAAGUAUUUCUUGUAGAUUACUUUAUAUAAUUUUUUAUCAACUGUUUGAAACUUACAACAGAAGUUUUUAUACAACUUAUGAUGAUCAAUAUAAUAUGUAG